rnacentral:rRNA from 1 species
GAAUCUUGGACAAUGGGCGCAAGCCUGAUCCAGCCAUGCCGCGUGUGUGAUGAAGGCCUUAGGGUCGUAAAGCACUUUCGCCAGAGAUGAUAAUGACAGUAUCUGGUAAAGAAACCCCGGCUAACUCCGUGCCAGCAGCCGCGGUAAUACGGAGGGGGUUAGCGUUGUUCGGAAUUACUGGGCGUAAAGCGCACGUAGGCGGAUUAGUCAGUCAGAGGUGAAAUCCCAGGGCUCAACCCUGGAACUGCCUUUGAUACUGCUAGUCUUGAGUUCGAGAGAGGUGAGUGGAAUUCCGAGUGUAKAGGUGAAAUUCGUAGAUAUUCGGAGGAACACCAGUGGCGAAGGCGGCUCACUGGYUCGAUACUGACGCUGAGGUGCGAAAGUGUGGGGAGCAWACWGGAUUAKAUACCCUGGUAKUCCACACCGUAAACGAUGAAUGCCAGUCGUCGGGUAGUAUACUAUUCGGUGACACACCUAACGGAUUAAGCAUC